UACGGAGGGGGCUAGCGUUGUUCGGAAUUACUGGGCGUAAAGCGCACGUAGGCGGACCAGUCAGUUGGGGGUGAAAUCCCGGGGCUCAACCCCGGAACUGCCUCCAAAACUGCUGGUCUGGAGGUCGAGAGAGGCGAGUGGAAUUCCGAGUGUAGAGGUGAAAUUCGUAGAUAUUCGGAGGAACACCAGUGGCGAAGGCGGCUCGCUGGCUCGAUACUGACGCUGAGGUGCGAAAGCGUGGGGAGCAAACAGG
rnacentral:rRNA from 3 species